rnacentral:rRNA from 1 species
GAUGAACGCUGGCGGCGUGCCUAAUACAUGCAAGUCGAGCGAAGCGGGGACGGGUGAGUAACACGUGGAUAACCUCCUAUAAGACUGGGAUAACUUAGGGAAACCGGAGCUAAAACGGAUAAUUAUAGAUGGAUACGAGCUGAAUGAGCUAGGUGGUAAGGUAACGGCUUACCAAGGCAAAGAUGCAGAGCCGACCAGAGAGUGUGAUCUGCCGCACUGUAACUGAGCCACGGUCCAUACUCCGACUGGAGUGAUCAGUAGGGAAUCUUCCGCAAUGGGCGAAAGUCUGACGGAGCAACGCCGCGUGAGUGAUGAAGGUCUUCGGAUCGUAAAACUCUGUUAUUAGGGAAGCGGUACCUAAUCAGAAAGCCACUGCUAACUACGUGCCAGCAGCCGCGGUAAUUC